GGAUCUCUAGGCUCUACAUCACCUCCAAACAGUGGUUUGGCACCAAGCACAUACUUCCAACCUACCACUUUUCGACCAACUUUUCAACCCAUGAAUGUCGGUCUGCGUCCAAGUUUGCACCCUUGCCCAAACACCUUUCGACCACCUUUUCAACAAGCUCAUCGAGCCCAAUUGUUCACACCUUCACCUACCACCCCUACUCCUAGCCUAGGU
rnacentral:lncRNA from 1 species